rnacentral:rRNA from 1 species
UACAGAGGUCCCGAGCGUUGUUCGGAUUCACUGGGCGUAAAGGGUGCGUAGGUGGUGAGGUAAGUCGGAUGUGAAAUCUCCAAGCUCAACUUGGAAAUGGCAUUGGAAACUACCUUGCUGGAGGUUUGGAGGGGGGACUGGAAUUCUCGGUGUAGCAGUGAAAUGCGUAGAUAUUCGGAAGAACACCAGUGGCGAAGGCGACUUACUGGACACAUAUUGACGCUGAGGUGCGAAAGCGUGGGGAGCAAACAGG